CUGGACUUGAGCUCACUUUGUAGCCCAGGCUGGUCUCAAACUCACAACCAUCUUCCUGCCUCAGCCUCCCGAGUGCUGGGAUUACAGGCGUGCGCCACCACGUCCAGCUCAUAGCUGGUAACAUUUAAGGGCUCAAAAUUGAAGGUGAGGCACACCCCAAACCCAGGGGUCUUUUGAGGGUCAGAAUCACCACCUCUCUGGCAUCUCUGUGAGGGACGUGGAGAAAGCCCGCCAAGCUGCAGGCUGAGCUGGACACACCUCCCACAUCUUCCCGUCAGGAAGGGUGAAGGACGCUGGGGGCCCGGCUUGCGCCCGCUCCUUCUCUGGGAAGACCUCCUCCAGCCAAGCUGGCCGCCUCACCCAGCCCUCAGCAAGUCGUUCCCACACCUCCUCCCUCGGUCCCUAGCCGGCACCGACACCUACUGCACAGGACAAAUCCAGCUGAAGGUGGUGGUGAAAGUCUCUAACCCCAGCACUCUGGAAGGUCAAGGCAGGAAGACUGAAAGUUCAAGUCCAGCCUGGGCAACUUAUCGAGCCCCUGUCUCAAAAUUUAAAAAUUU
rnacentral:lncRNA from 1 species